GACGAACGCUGGCGGCGUGCCUAAUACAUGCGAGUCGAGCGGAACUGGGGGAGCUUGCUCCUUCCAGUUUAGCGGCGGACGGGUGAGUAACACGUGGGCAACCUGCCCUGCAGAUCGGGAUAACUCCGGGGAACCGGUGCUAAUACCGAAUAGUUUGGCGCCUCUCCUGAGGCGCUACGGAAAGACGGUUUCGUCUGUCACUGCAGGAUGGGCCCGCGGCGCAUUAGCUAGUUGGUGGGGUAACGGCCCACCAAGGCGACGAUGCGUAGCCGACCUGAGAGGGUGACCGGCUACACUGGGACUGAGACACGGCCCAGACUCCUACGGGAGGCGGCAGUAGGGAAUCUUCCGCAAUGGACGCAAGUCUGACGGAGCAACGCCGCGUGAGUGACGAAGGUUUUCGGAUCGUAAAACUCUGUUGUGAGGGAAGAACACGUACCAACUAACUAUUGGUACCUUGACGGUACCUCACCAGAAAGCCACGGCUAACUACGUGCCAGCAGCCGCAGUAA
rnacentral:rRNA from 1 species